UACGGAGGGUGCGAGCGUUGUCCGGAAUCACUGGGCGUAAAGGGAGCGUAGGCGGAUAGUUAAGUCAGAGGUGAAAGCCCAGGGCUCAACCUUGGAAUUGCCUUUGAUACUGGCUAUCUUGAGUAUGGGAGAGGUUAGCGGAACUCCGAGUGUAGAGGUGAAAUUCGUAGAUAUUCGGAAGAACACCAGUGGCGAAGGCGGCUAACUGGCCCAUUACUGACGCUGAGGCUCGAAAGCGUGGGGAGCAAACAGG
rnacentral:rRNA from 1 species